UCCCCUCGGUCCGACAGCUCCUGGAGGGUCUCUAGGCCGUCGCCCUGGCGGAACUCGAUCCGGUGGCGGAUCACGGCGAUGCCCUCGAUCCUGCGGCGGAGCGUCUCGGGGUACCAGCGGGACGCCAGUCCCCUCCCGUUCUCGCCCGAGCGGACCCGCCCACUGCCCGGGGCGAGGAUGCCGCCGUGGU
rnacentral:misc_RNA from 1 species